rnacentral:lncRNA from 1 species
UGAGCAGGUGCUGCUGGAGUUUGAUCCUGAACCGGGCAACUGGUGGGUCAACAGGUGCUGCCCCCAUGGCUCUGCCUCGACCACGACCGCGUCCACGACCUCUGGUGGCCUCGGUAGUUAGUACAGGUGGUCGUCUGCCACACCUAGUUGCACGGGUUCUUCCCAUCUGCGAGAGAAUAGAAUAACAAAAUUUAGUUUUCGGAUCAACAAAGUCGCACGAUAAGAAUUCCGAGAAUAUGAAAUUUCCUAAAGGUUCUGAAGCCUCCCGAGGAUAAGUACAAACAUUUCCGUACCGAUCCGCAAGACUAUAGUAAUCAGGCUCAUGAUCGCGAGACCAAGUAACCUAGGCUCUGAUACCAACUUUUCACGACUCCAACCCGAUCAUGAUGGCUCCCAACACACUACUAGGAAAGCCCGAUCAUUUCCAACAUUAAAUCCAAUUUAAUAAACAGAGGUAGAUGAAUAAAAAUGUGAAUCACCAAACCAUUUAAUUCAAAAAUUAGGAAAAUACUAAAAAAGUGUGGAAGUUAAGCAAUAAUACUAAACAUAGUCUAACUAGGACCCGGUGUCACAGAAAUGAGCCUCCAAAUACAGAGUGUCAUUCUACUACAAAGUCUACCUAAAAGAUGAAAAUGUGAAAAUAAAGGAUAGAGAUAGAGGGGAGAAAUCAAUGGUUGCGAACGCCGUGCAGCUACUUCGACACUCUCGGGAAGUUAACUCUGCUGAUCAACUCGAUCUACUCAGCUUGGGAAGAACCUGGAUCUGCACGCAAGGUGCAUGGAGUAAAGUGAGUACUUCGACCCAGUGAGUAAUAAACAUAAAUACAGUCUGAAAGUAAGAAAACGCAAAAAACACACAGAGUAACAUAUAUCUAGCAGUUCAUAUCAAUAUCAAUGUAAAUAGUAAAAGAGUAAUACAUUUAAGGAAAUAAUGCAUGAAUAGAUGCCAACACAUAUAAAAAGUGAGGAAAACUAAUGAAGAUCCCUUAUGGAUUCUACAGGUCGGCACAAGGCCCCAAACAUGGAAAUAAGCCCAAUUCACAGUAAUAAGGUAUGUGUCUCAAUCGCCAAUAUAGUGGAAAUAACACUCGGGAUAGACCAAGUCACCAUCCCCAAUAAUAAACGACCCCGCACUCAUCAUAGAAUGCGUGUCACGCCUCAAUAUAACAUUACGAUGUGAAAUUUCGGGGUUGCAAACCCUCAGAGCAGCACUUACAUCUAUUAUUCACCUCUAGCCGGCCAAAGACUAGAUCGCAAUGCCCUUUCCUCUCGAAUCGACCUCCUCGCGCAUCAAAUCUGGCCAAAACUACAAUGAAUACGCUACAAUAUGCUAAGGAAUAUAAAUCAAUCGAAAAGACUCAAAAAAUAUCAAAAAUCAUGAAAUUUUCAAAACCCGAGCCCCCGGCCCAUUUCUCGAAAGUCAAAAAAUUUUACACCAAAAUUAUCGUUAUCUCUCCACGAGUCUAUACAUGUAAAAUUUACUAAAAUCGGAGUCCAAAUGCUCCCUCAAAUCCCAAUUUUACAUUCAAAAACCCAAGCCCUAGAAUUUCCCUUUUUAAUCAAAUUCCAUGAAUUUAGGUGUUGAAAUCACAGUUAGAUGAUGUUUCUAAGCCAUAGUGCUUACCUCCAAUCGAUUCCCAGUCAAAACCCUCUUAAAAUCUCGUCAAAAUCUCCCAAUGUUGCUCAACAAUGGUGGAAAAUAACCCCAAUUCGCAGAUGAUAUGUUUUUAAACAUUCUGCCCCAGGUGACGUUUCCUUCUUCGCGAACGCGAUGGCCCUCUCGCGUUCGUGAUGGCCAAAAAUUCCAUUGGGCCACUUUACUCUUCGCGAAUGUGGAGCCCAUCCCGCAAAUGUGAUGGCUUUCCUGGCAUAACUACGCGAACACGUUCAAUAGACCGCAAACGUGAUGCCUCCACUGCUGCUCCUAUGGAAAUACAAGCCUCUAAUCAAGAACGCGAUAUACAAAGACAAGGACCCCCCCAAACUUUCUCUAUGUGAACGCGGGGUCCCAAUCGCUAACGUGAAGACCAUGGACCUAACAACUACUCGAACGCGACCAAUCCUCGCGAACGUGAAGACCCAAUUGGUCUGCAACUGCUGUGCAAAAAUCUACAACUCCUCAACUUCAAAAAAUUCAUUGUUAGCUAUCCGAAAUCACCCUGAGGCCCCCGGGACCUCAACCAACCUAUCAACCCAUCAUUAAACAACAUAAUAACUUGUUCCAAUCAUAAAAAUACAUCUAACAACAAAAAAAUCACCAAUUAUCAACGGAUUCAAGUCUAAGUUCAACCAAAACUUCCGAAACUCGCAUUCGAUCAAAAACAUGACCUAAACACCUCUGAAAUUACUGAAAUUUUGCACACACAUCCCAAGUAACCUAAUGAAGCUACUAAAACUCUCGGAAUCUCAUUCUAAACCUUGGGUCAAAAUCUUUCCUACCGACCGGAUUUCGACAAAAUUAUAACUUCGCCAAAAUAGGCUAACUUCUACACCAAACCUCCAAAAUCACUUCUGAUUGCACUCCUAAGCAUUAAAUUAUUCCCCGAAACUAAUAAAAUCAUCGAAAAUUACAUUCGAGCCCUCUAACUCACAAGUCAACUUCUAGUUGACCUUUCCAAACUAACAUUUCCUUAAAAAGACUAUAUGUCUCAUUUCCUACCAAACUCCAUCCGAACUAACUAUAACUCCCCAGAUGCAUAUAAUGAAACAUGAAGAAGUAAUAAACAGAGAAAACGGUAUGGAAACACAUAAGAUGACGGGUCGAGUCAUUACAUGUGUAUAUUUUUUUGAAGCCGCGAGGGCUCGAGUGAGUUUUGAAUAGACCGCGGGGUGUAUUGUGGACUUAGAAAAUUGUAGAUUUUUCAACUGUGCAUAGAAGGCCUGAAUGCUUUGCAUUUGCGAAGCCUAGCUUGCAAAUGCAAGUGCCUUGUCGCAAUUAUGAAAGAAUCCCAAGCAAGCUCCCUCUCGCAAAUGCGAGACUAUCUUCGCAAAUGCAAAACUUCCCAAUUUGGCUUGUGAUCGCAAAUGCGAUGCUUGAUUCACAAUUCUCAGCUUGCAAAUGCGAGCCCCCUCCCCCGUUGCAAUUACCAACAUAGCAGAUGUCGUGGUUCGCAAUUGCGAACCCCUAUUCGCAAUUCCCUCAUCUUCCAGCUGCAACUUUAAUACUUAGCCGAAAAUCAACCAUUUUCACAUCUUUUCAAUACACAACCUCCCUAGGGCGAUGUUUCAAGAAUAACUCUUCUUCCAAAUCGAUUGUAAGCCAAUUCUUCAAUCAUUAACAUCUUCUAAUAUGAUUUGAACUCAAAAUCAAUGAUUUUCAUGGAAAAAAUUGGGUGUUUUGUGUAGAGCCUAGAUUUUUCAAAAGUUGGAGAUUUGGACCUCGAUUUGAGGUUCGAUUUUAAAAAAAAUUAUAUAUUCGGUUCAUGGAGAAAUGGGUAAUCAGGUUUUGGUUUGAACCUUGUGUUUUGACCAUGUGGCACCGAGGUGAUUUUUUAAUUUUUGGGUACAACUUUGAAAAACACAUUUUCAUGCAUUCGAAUUGAUUCAUUUAAUGUUUAUUGAUGUAAUUAAGUAAUUUAUGACUAGAUACAAGAAAAUUGGUGAUGUGACGAAGGGGUAAAGCUAUAAUUGAAACGUGAAUUGUGUUCGUGACAUCGAGGUAAGUGUUUGGUCUAACCUUAGCUUGAGGGAUUAUGAGUUGAAUCCUAUUUGCUUUGCGGUAAUUGUUGAGUAUGGCGUAUGUGCAUGGUGACGAGUAUCUAUACGUUGGUGUCUAGCAUGCCCGCGAGUCUUAUAUUUUGAUUAUCAGACUUCAUUGUAUCUUUUAUGCCUUAGUAAUGGUUUCCAUUUUUUGUGUAAAGUUUGUGGAAGGAAUUUUGACCUAUGAACAUUGAGAAGAGUUGGCUCAUGUUGUGUAAUGAAUUGUGAAAGUAUAAGUGAUAAUUGAACCUUAUGAGCAUUGGCUUGAGUAGUGAAGUGAAUUGUGAAUUAAAGUGAGAAAGAGAAGAUAUCAUUAUGUUGCCCCCUUUGCCCGACUAUUGUUGCCUUAUUUGUUAUCUCCCUUGCCGUGAUGUUGAUGUUAUUGAGUUUGUCCCUUGCCGGGACAUGUUGUUGAACUAUUGUUCCUUUGCCGAGAUUAUUAUUGCAAAUUUCAUUUAUUUUCCUUGCCGUAUUGUUUAUGAUUUUUGUUUGGGUGAAGAAGAGAGUUAAAGCACGAAGUGUGAUGCUGCGUAUUAACAUUUGAGAGCAAAGAGCGUAAAGCACGAAGGGUGAUGUCGUGCCGCACGAUGUACCAUUCCGUGCUGAUUAUAUUGAUUAUAUGGUGAGGAAAGAGAGUCAAGUUUAAAGCAAGAAGGGUGAUUCUGUGCCGCACGAUAUACCAUUCUGUGCCGACUAUAUUGAUUAUAUGGUGAGGAAAGAGAAUAGAAGAACGAAGAGUAAUACCGUGCACAUUUUUAUUUCUUGAUUGUUUUGGUGAGGAUGAGAGUAAAAGCACGAAGGGUAAUGCUGUGCAUUUAUUGAUUUUCGAUUCUUUUUUAAUAUUAGGGUUGUAUUGUUUCGUUCUUUUACUUGUUGUUUGGAAUUGAUAUCUCCCCCGCAGCAUGCACCCCCUCCCAUACUUGAUUAUUUAUUUUUGUACUUCUUUUCCGCUAUGUAUAUUCGAAUUGCAUAGGUUUAUUUGGUAGUCUAGUCUUAGCUUCGUCACUACUUCGCAGAGGUUGGGCUAGGCACUUACCAGCACAUGGGUUCGGUUGUGAUGAUACUACACUCUGCAUUAUGUGUAGAUCCUAGAGAAACUUUUGGACCGUAGUUUGGAGGCUACCUUCAGUCCACGGAGAUCCAAGGUACACCUGCAAGUUACCGCAGGCCCUGGUGUCUCCCUCUAUCCCCUAUUUCCUGUUUCAUUUUCCUUACAUUUAGAAAUAGUGUAUCGUUAUUGUAUUUGGACUUUGUAUGUAGUAAACCUUAGACCGUCUCUAACACUGUGAUACCAUGUUUUGGGUGAUUAUAGGCUUAACUAGUUGUAAUAGCUACAAAUUUUGGAUAUUUUAUUUUUUUUCUUCUACUUUAUUCAAAUUUACGCUAUUUAUACGUUAUCGCUUAUUGUUUGUUAAAAGGAAAUAACUUGAUAAUGAAGUAAUUAGUUUAAAUGAUUAGCUUGCCUAGCUCAUAUGUAGGUGUCAUCACGACUCCCGAGGGUGAAAAAUUCGGGUUGUGACAAGUUGGUAUAAUGGGUCUCACAGUUCACAGACAAGCUUAGUAGAAUCUUAGGGAUCGGUAAAGAGACGUCUGUAUUUAUCCCCAGAGGCUACAGAGUUGGGGAAAAAACAUCACAUUUAUUCUUUUUUGUUGUGCAGUUUGGUUUCUAAACGCUGAUUGAAUUUCUACUCUUCCUUUUGCAGAUGGCUAGAACACGUGCUUCCUUAUCUAUUGACCAGUAGCCCGAUCCUUCAGCACCAGCUCCCGCGAGGGGCAGAGGGCGAGGCCGAGGCCAUGCUAAGGGCCAAGGUAGGGGAAAAGCUCAUCCUAGAGCAUUAGCACCCACAUCAGAGCCUCAAGUUGACUUUGAUGAUGAGGUUUUGGUCCCAGCAGUUUCGGUGGGCCCAGCUCGGGUACUAGAGGGGUUUAUUACUACCCUAGUUCUCCAGGAUGCUCUGGUCCAUCUAGUGGGUCUUAUGGAGGGUGUGACCCGAGCAAGUUUGCUCCCUGUAGCACCAGCCGCCUCUCAGGAUGGAGGAGGAGCCCAAACUCUUGCUACUCGCACUCCGGAGCAGGUAGCUCCUAGUUUCAGACUCCAAUGGUUCAUCCAGUUGGAGCAGUUCAACCGGUGAUAAAGCAGUUAUGUCUGUGAUGUUUUGUGGAGGUUGGAUAUGUUCACCAAGCUCUUCACUACUACUUUCUGCGGUGCAUUUUCUGAGGAUCCCCAAGAUUAUCUAGACAGCUGUUAUGAGGUUCUCAAGAACAUGGGGAUAGCUGAGACCAGGAUUUUGCUUGUCUGGAUCUGCCAAGACUUGGUUGAGAGAUUAUUGCUUGGUUAGACAAGUCGGAUCGCUAGCUUUGACUUGGGAGUAGUUUACUAAGCUAUUUCUGGAGACGUUUCUCUCCAUCACUCAGAGAGAGGCCUAUCGGAGGCAGUUUGAGCAUCUCCAGCAAGGUUCUAUGACUGUGACCCAGUAUGAGACUAGAUUCAUCGACUUGGCUUAUCAUGUUCUUAUCAUACUUCCCACCGACAGAAAGAGGGUAAGGAGGUUCAUUGAUGGAUUUAUUCAGCCGAUUCGUCUUCAGAUGGCUAGGGAGACUGGAAUUGAGAUAUCUUUCCAGAAGGCGGCCAAUAGGGCCCGAAGAGUGGAGAUGGUUCUAUCGUAAGGAGGUGGUCAUGGGUAAGACAAGAGGCCCCGUUACUUGAGCAGAUUCAGUGGUACCUCGUGUGGAGGUAGGGAUUCAUUUGGUUGAGGCCAUCCUCCUAGGCCUAUUCAGUCAGCACUCUACGUUUCUCAUGAUGCUUUAGGUGGUUGUGGUCCUCAGAUGCAGUAUUCUUAUCAGCCGUCCUACAGUACACCACCAACCCCUAUCAAUGCACCGCAACUUCAAUGUUUUCGGGGUGGUCAUUUCAGGUCUUUAUGGACAGUAGUCUCAGCAGUCGAGGGCUUGUUAACGAAUGUGGUGAUAUGGGUCAUAUUGCUAGGUUUUCCCCUCGAGCACCGAGUAGCUCUCAAUAUCAAGGUUUCCGUGCCAUGGUUCAGGCACCGAGUGUUCCAUAGCCCGCCCAGCAAGCUAGAGGUGGGGGAAGAAGUGCUAGAGGUGGAGGUAGAGGUAAUAUAGGUGGAGCUCAGGUCGCUAUAUGUGGAGGCCAUCCAGUAGCCAGUCGUCCCAGAGAUGUAAUUUAGGGUGGUGGGGCCCAGCCCGAUGUUAUGCUCUUCCAACUAGGUCCAAGGUCGAGGCUUCUGAUGUAGUUAUCAUGUGUACAGUUCUGGUUUGAGAUAUAUAUGCUUCAAUAUUAUUUGAUCCAGGGACUACAUACUCGUAUGUGUCAUCUUAUACUGUAUCUUGUCAUGCCUAGUGAUUCUUUGAGUGCUCCUAUUUAUGUGUCUACACUAGUAGGUGAUUCUAUUAUUUAUAGAUCGAGUCCAUCGUUCAUGUAUAGUUGUAAUUUGAGGUCUUGAGACUCGUGUAGAUUUACUUCUUCUAGACAUUGUCGAUUUCAAUGUCAUAUUGGGGAUAAAAUGGUAAUAACCUUACCAUGCUAUCUUGGAUUGGCAUGCCAAGACUGUGACCUUAGCCUUGUUGGGUUUACCUUUUCUAGAGUGGAGAGGGACUCCUGGUCAUUCUACCCACAAUGUUACCUGAUAUAUGAAGGCUCGGCAUAUGGCCGAAAAGGGGUGUUUGGCCUAUUUGCUAUAUGUUCGUGAUUCUAGUGCUAAGGUUCCAUCUAUUGAUUCUGUAACCAUUGUUCGUGAAUUUCCUAAGGUUUUCCGUUCAGGCCGGCCGGAUAUGCCACAUGGUAGGGAUAUUGACUUUUGUCUUGAUUUGGGUCCGGGCACUCAGCCCAUUUCUAUCCCGCCAUAUCGUAUGACCCGCUUGAGUUGAAAGAGUUGAAGGAGCAAUUGCAAGACUUUCUUGAGAGGGGUUUCAUUAGGCCGAGUGUUUCGCCUUGAGGUGCGCCAGUGUUGUUUGUUAAGAAAAAUGGAUCAAUGAGGAUUAUGUAUUGAUUACCAGCAGUUGAACAAGGUUACAAUCAAGAAUAAGUAUCCAUUACCAAGGAUUGAUGAUUUUUUUUAUCAACUUCAAGGUGCCAAGGAAUUUUCAAAGAUUGAUUUGAGAUUUGGCUACCAUUAGUUGAGGAUUAGGGCAUCUGAUGUCCCUAAGACAGGUUUUCGCACUUGGUAAGGGCAUUAUGAGUUCUUGGCGAUGUCACUCGGGUUGACAAAUGCCCCAGCAACUUUUAUGAAUUUGAUGAAUCGAGUGUGCAUGCAUUACUUGGAUUCGUUCGUGAUAGUCUUCAUUGAUGAUAUUUUGAUAUAUUCCCGCCGCCGGGAGGAGCAUGAGCAGCAUCUUAGAGUGGUUUUGCAAACCUUGAAGGAUAGUCAGGUAUAUGCUAAAUGCUUGAAGUGUGAGUUCUGGUUGAGUUCGGUUGUAUUACUAGGUCAUGUUGUAUCACUAGAGGGUAUUCAGGUUGAUCCAAGAAGAUUGAGGCAGUUAAGAACUGUCCUAGACCAACAUCAGCUACAGAGAUUCAGAGUUUCUUGAGAUUAGUAGGAUGCUCUCGUUUGUUUGUGGAGGGGUUUUCAUCUAUCAGAACCCCAAUGACCAGGGUGACCCAUAAGGAUGCCCGGUUCAGAUGGUCGGACGAGUGUUAGGCGAGUUUUCAGAGGCUUAAGACAGCUCUGACUACGACACCAGUGUUGGUUUUGCCUACAGGUUCAGGGCCUUAUAUAGUUUAUUGUGAUGCAUCUCGUAUUGGACUUCGUGUAGUGUUGAUGUAGAUGAUAAGGUCAUUGCCUAUGCUUCGCGAUAGUUGAAGAUUCAUGAGAAGAACUAUUCGGUUCAUGAUUUGGAGUUGGCUGCCAUUGUUCAUGCGUUAAAGAUUUUAAGGCAUUAUUUGUAUGCCGUGGCAUGUGAGCUGUUCACAGAUCACAAGAGUCUACAGUAUUUGUUCAAGCAAAAGGAGUUGAAUUUGAGGCAGAUGAGGUGGUUAGAGUUGUUGAAAGACUAUUAUAUCACUAUUUUACAUCAUCUAGGAAAGGCUAAUGUUGUGGCUGAUCCUUGGAUUAGGAAGUUAGCCAGUACGUGCAGUCUUACUUAUAUUCCAUUCGGUGGAGACCGUUUUCUUUAGAUGUUCAGGCUUUGGCCAAUCAGUUCAUGAGGUUGGAUAUUUCUGAGCCCAAUCGUGUGUUAGCUUGCACUGUCGCUCGUUCUUCUUUAUUGGAGUGUAUCCAUGAUCGGAAUUAUCAUGAUGUUUAUUUUAGAGGAGGCCCAGAGCUCCCGAUACUCUAUUCAUCCGGGCGCCGCGAAGAUGUAUUAGGAUUUGUGGCAGCAUUAGAGAAGAAUGAAGAAGGAUACUGUUGCAUAUGUGGCUCGGUGUUUGAAUUGCCAGCAUGUUAAGUACGAGCAUCAGAGGCCCGGUGGAUUAUUUUAGCAAAUUCAGAUUCCUGAGUGGAAGUUGGUGCGUAUUACUAUAGACUUCGUUGUUGGACUACCACAGACUCAGAGGAAGUUCGAUGCAGUGUAGGUUAUUGUUGAUAGGCUAACCAAGAGACUAGCUGAGAUUUAUAUCCGAGAGAUUGUUCGCCUUCAUGAUAUGCUCGUGUCCAUCAUUUCGGACCAAGUUACACAGUUUACCUCACAUUUCUGGAGAGCAUUUCAGCGAAAGUUGGGCACACGGGUUGAGUUGAGCACAUCGUUUCAUCCUCAGACAGACAGGCAGUCCGAGCGGACUAUUCAGAUUUUGGAGGGUAUGCUCCAAGUGUGUGUCAUUGACUUUCGAGGCUCAUGGUAUUAGUUUUUGACUUUAGCAGAUCUUGUGUACAACAACUACCAGUCGAGUAUUCAGAUGGAUCCGUAUGAGGCUUUGCAUAGCAGGCGAUGUCGGUCGCCGGUUAGACGGUUUGAGCCAGGAGAGGCUCGGUUGUUGGGUACAGAUCUAGUUCAGGAUACCUUGGACAAGGUCAGGAUUAUUUAGGAUAGGCUUUGUACAGCUCAGUCCAGGAAAAAGAGUUAAUCGCAUAGAUCGUGAGUUGGAAUUCAUUGUCGCUGACGGGUAUUGCUUCGAGUGUCACCUAUGAAGGGCGCAAUGAGAUUUGGGAAGAAGUCCAAGCUUACCCUAGGUUCAUUGGCCCAUUUGAGAUUCUUAAUACAGUGGGAGAGAUGGCUAAUAGACUUGCAUUGCCGCAAGCUUAGCAGACGUGCAUUAGUGUUUCAUGUAUCCAUGCUUCAAAAAUAUCACGGCGAUCCAUCCCACGUGCUAAGAUUUCAGCACUGUCUAGUUGGACAAAGACUUAUCUUAUGAGGAGAAGUCGGUAGCUAAUCUAGACCGGCAAGUUCGUCAGCUGAAAUCGAAGAGUUCUCCUUUUAUUCGUGAUUAGUGGAGAGGUCAGCCUGCUAAGGAAUUGACCUGGGAGUCCGAGUCCAAUAUGUGGAGCCAUUAUCCUUAUCUUUUCCCCGACUCAGGUACUUCCUUCUUCUGUCAGUUCGAGGAUGAACUGUUUUUUAGAGGUGGAGAAUGUGAUGACUCAAAAGGUUAUCACUUGUUUUUAAAAUGAAUUUUGCCUUCCGAGGCCUUAAAAACCUCUUUUAGCAUCACCUCGAUUUGCUGCGCAGUCUGGACGCAUAGCUAAAAAGCCUAUAUGUGAAAAUCUGUGAAAAUAAUAAAUUUUGAUUAUAAGAUGAAUUAAUUUGAGGGUCAACGUUUUGGAUAAAUAGACCCAAACCCGUAAUUUGACUGUCCCGAGGGUCCAUAGAAAAAUAUGGGACUUGGGCGUAUGCUCGAAAUCAAUUUCCAAGAUCCCAAGUCUUGAGAAAUAAAUUUUCAAAGAAAUUAUUUUCUAAAAAAUAUAAAGGUUUUUGAAAGUGAGAUCGUAUGUGAAACCGGUGAUGCUGGUCGUGUAUUAUGGUUCCGAAGCUUGGAAUAGGAUCAAUAUAAUUUAUAUGUGUUGUUGGUAAAGUUUGGUAAGAAAUGAAAUCCAUUUGACGUGAUUCGAACCAUAAAUGCAAAAUUUGGUGUUUAAAGAAGUUAUGAGAAAUUUCAUUGAUUUUGAGGUUUCAUUCAUUGUUCAUGCUGUUAUUUUGGUGGUUUGAUUAAACGAACAAGCUUGUAAGAUGCUUUUGAGGUUGUGUGUACAUUUGGUUUGGAGCCCCGAGGGCUCGGAUGAGUUUUGGAUAGGCCACGGGGUAUAUUGUGGACUUAGAAAAUUGCAGAUAUUUUAGCUGUGCAUUUACAGGCCUGCAGACUACACAUAAUACAAUAUUGCAAUGCGAGUAGCUUGUCACAAUUGUGAAAUAAGCCUAGGCAAGCUCUUUCUCGCAAAUGCGAGACUAUCUUUGCAAAUGCGAAACUUCCCAAUUUGUCAUGUCAUCGCAAAUGAGAUGCUUAGUUAACAAAUCCUAGCUCGCAAAUGCGAGCCCCCCCCGGGUCAUCNNNNNNNNNNNNNNNNNNNNNNNNNNNNNNNNNNNNNNNNNNNNNNNNNNNNNNNNNNNNNNNNNNNNNNNNNNNNNNNNNNNNNNNNNNNNNNNNNNNNNNNNNNNNNNNNNNNNNNNNNNNNNNNNNNNNNNNNNNNNNNNNNNNNNNNNNNNNNNNNNNNNNNNNNNNNNNNNNNNNNNNNNNNNNNNNNNNNNNNNNNNNNNNNNNNNNNNNNNNNNNNNNNNNNNNNNNNNNNNNNNNNNNNNNNNNNNNNNNNNNNNNNNNNNNNNNNNNNNNNNNNNNNNNNNNNNNNNNNNNNNNNNNNNNNNNNNNNNNNNNNNNNNNNNNNNNNNNNNNNNNNNNNNNNNNNNNNNNNNNNNNNNNNNNNNNNNNNNNNNNNNNNNNNNNNNNNNNNNNNNNNNNNNNNNNNNNNNNNNNNNNNNNNNNNNNNNNNNNNNNNNNNNNNNNNNNNNNNNNNNNNCCCCCAUUCGCAAUACCCAAUAUACUAGAGGUCGAUGUUCGCAAUUGCGAACCCCUGUUUGCAAUUCCCACAUAUGCGACCUGCAACUUUUAUACUUAGCUGAAAAUAAACAAUUUUUCACAUCUUUUCAAAACACAACCUCCCUAGGUCGAUUUUUCAAGAAUAACUCUUCUUUCCAAUCAAUUGUAAGUCAAUUUUAACUCUUUUCCUUCAAUCAUUAACAUCUUUUAGCACGAUUUCAACUUAAAUAAUUUUCAGGGGGAAUUAGGUGUUUUGGGUAGAGCCUAAAUUUUUUUAAAAAUGGUGAUUUGGACCUCGAUUUGAGGUCGGAUUUCAUAAAAAAUUAUAUAUUUGGGUUUGUGGGGGAAUGGAUAAUCAGUUUUUUGUUAAAACCUCGAGUUUUGGCCAUGUGGGUCCGGGGGCAUUUUUUAUUUUUUGGGUAAAACUUUGGAAAAUGCAUUUUUGUGCAUUCGAAUGGAUUCAUUUAGCGUUUAUUGAUGUACUUAAGUAACUUGUGACUAGAUACAAGCAAAUCGGUGGUGGAAUCAAGGGGUAAAGCUAUAAUUGAAACGUGAAUUGUGUUUGUGACAUUGAGGUAAGUGUUUGGUCUAACCUUAGCUUGAGGGAUUAGGAGCCGAAUCCUAUUUGAUAUGUGGUAAUUGUUUAGAACAACGUAUUUGCAUGGUGACAAGUAUCUAUACGUUGGUGUUUAGCAUGCCCGCGAGUCUUAUAUUAUGAUUAUCAUGACUUUGUUGUAUCUUUUAUGCCUUGGUGAUGGUUUCUAUUUAUUGUGUAAAGUUAUAGGAAGUAAUUGUGACCUAUGAACAUUGAGGAGCGUUGACUCAAGUUGUGUAACAAAUUGUAAAAGUAUAAGUGAUAAUUGAACCUUAAAGAGCAUUGGCUCGAGUAGUGAAGUGAAUUGUGAAGUAAAGUGAGAAAGAGAGGAGAUCAUUAUGUUGCCCCUUUGCCGGGCUAUUGUUGCUUUAUUUGAUAUCUCCUUUGCCAGGAUGUUGGUGUUAUUGAUGUUGUCCCUUAACUGGACUAGUUGUUGAACUAUUGUUCCCUUGCCGGGAUUAUUAUUGCAAAUUUCAUUUGUUUUUCUUGCCAUAUUAUUUGUGAUUAUUGUUUUGGUGAGGAAGAGAGUUAAAGCACAAAGGGUGAUGCCGUGUAUGAUUGGUGAGGAAAGAGUGUAAAGCACGAAGGGUGAUGUCGUGCCGCACGAUGUACCAUUUUGUGCCGAUUAUAUUGAUUAUAUUGUGAGGAAAGAGAGUAAAAACACGAAGGGUGAUGCCGUGCACAUUUUCAUUACUUGAUUGUUUUGGUGAGGACGAGAGUAAAAGAACGAAGGGUGAUGUCGUGCAUUAAAUAAUUUUUGAUUCUUUAUUGUUAUCCGAGUUAUAUUGGUUCUUUCAUUUACUUUUUGUCUUUCUAUUUCGAAUUGAUAUCUCCCCUGUGGCAUGCUCCCACUCACAUACUUGACUGUUUAUUCUGUACUUCUUUUUCGCUGUAUAUAUUCGAAUUGCACAAGUUUAUUUGGUAGUUUGGCACUAGCCUCAUCACUACUUCACCGAGGUUAGGCUAGGCACUUACCAGCACAUAGGGUCAGUUGUGGUGAUACUACACUCUGCACUAUAUGCAGAUCCCGGUGCAACUUUUGGACUGUAGUUUGGAUGCUACCUUCAGUCAGCGGAGAUCCAAGGUAGACUUGCAGGCGUCCGCAGGCCCUGGAAUCUCCCUCUAUCCCCUAUUUCCUAUUUUAUUUUCCUUACAUUCAAAUUCAGUGUAUCAUUAUUGUAUUCAGACCUUGUAUGUAGUAAACCUUAGACCAUUCUGUGAUACUAUGACACCAGGUUUUUGGUGAUUAAGGCUUAAGUAGUUGUAAUAGCUGCAAAUUUCAAAUAUUUCAUUAUUUUGUUCCACUCAAUUUAAAUUUACGCUGUUUAUACGUAUCGCUUAUUGUUUGUUAAAAAAUAAUUGGAUAAUGAAGUAAUUAGUUUAAAGGAUUGACUUAACUAGCUCACAUUAGUAUGCGCCAUUACGACUCUUGAGGAUGGAAAAUUCGGGUCAUGACAGCCAAUUCUCGUUCAGCUUCAAGGACCGAGUGUUGUGAAACCUACUCUAAUAGUAUCCCAACCCUUAGACAUACCACUGAAUCUUCCGUCAAACCCUAAUAUUAACCCCUUUGUAUCAAGUGCAGUACAAACCCCAAUCCUAAACAAUUCGAGCUUAAACCUUAACCCUCCCCUGUUUCGUACCCCCACAAAAAACCUUUUAGCUCAGAUUAACCAUAUUGUACCUCUAAACAAACCAAACUCUAUGCAUUCCUUUCCGAAAUUUGGCGCCACAAAUUCUAGAGGCUGGUUGAGAAGGUCUAAUAAAUUCUUUCGUGUUUACUAUGUUUCAGAUUAUAAAAGGAUUGAGUACAUAGCUUUUAAUGCAAAAGGGAAGAUGGACUUGUGGUUCGAAAACUUCUUGCUAAACAAUGAUGGUGUCUUGAAUUGGGAGCCGUUUGCUAUGGAAUUUUGUCGGAGGUUUGGCAAUCUUACGCUCUGGAUGUUAUCGAUGAAUUUAGCAGCCCUAAGAAAAUAAGGAGUGUGGAUGCUAAUCAAGCUAGAUUUCAAGAGUUGAGUACUCAUGUGCGGAUUGUAAAUCCAUUCAUGAAUGAGAUACAUUUUAUUUCUAGCUUCGUGAAAGGUCUUAAACUAGAAAUUAAGCCAUUGAUGAGAGUAGCAAAUCCUUCUUCUCUGAUGGAUACUUAUGAAAUUUUCACGCUUUACGAAGAGUCUUUUAAUGCCCAGAACAAACAGCCUUGAACCAAUUUCUCUAAUCCAAAAUCUAUCUGACACAAACCUCCAUUUAAUCAUACUCGAAAAUACCCAAACCAACCUCCUAAACAGAACAACCAAAAGAGCCCUUCAUAUGAGUUCCUAAAAAAAAGAACAUAUAUUUCUGGUGCCACGAACCAUAUUUCUCACUCCAUCAACCUAAACCCAACUAUAACAGCUUAACAUGUUGGACAUUAUAAAUGGAAAUGAGAUUGUAAAUGGAGAGUAAUUCCAAGAUUUGGAGGAAGAAUUGUAAGUACAAAAUGGGGAAGUGUCUCUUAGUGUGAUGUAUGGUGGUGUUAAAUCCCCUAGUACUAUUAAAAUAGUGUGGACAUUGAAGACGAUUUCGCUUAUUAUCAUCAUUGAUAGUGGAUCUACACGUAGCUUCAUUAAUCCUCAAACAGUAAAAAUGUUGAGGCUACCUGUGAUAUCUUGCAAGAGACUAUAGAACCACUAUGAGAUGUAAAUAACUUUUCCCUGACAUUCAGAGGUGCAUGCAGAAGGAGGAAUUUUUUGUGAUAUGAGGUUGCUGAAGGUUGGUAGUUGCAACUUGGUUUUGGGAAUCGAUUGGGUGGAUAUAUUUGCCCACAUGGUACUAUAUACAAGACCUCACAACAUUUCCUUCUUUAAGGUGGUCAGAGUCAUUACUCUAUUAGGAAAAGAAGAUAAGGUUGUAUUGAUCUCAAUAGAAGGUAGAACCUUGCCCAAACUACUUAAGAACAGGAUAUGUGGCUGUUUUGUUGAACUCUCUCAUAGAAACCAAUUCUAGUAACGGAAAACCUCUUCCCCUAUAAUGACUACACUGUUGAAUGCAUUCUCAGAUGUAUUUGAAGAAUCCAAGUAUCUUCCCUUUAUAAGGAACUCUGAUCAUAGCAUUCCUUUAAAAGAGGUACAAAACCAGUCAACUUGAAACCAUAUAGGUAUGUUUUUAGGCAGAAGAAUGCCUUGGAGAGCAUCAUUGAAGAAACGGUUGUCACAGGUGAUAGAGCCUAAUCAGUCUCCAUUUGCAUCCCCAGCCUUAUUGGUAAAGAAGAGAAACAACACUUGGCGACCAUGCAUUAACUAGAAAACUAAAUUCUUGUAUAGUGAAGAACAAGUUUCCUAUCCCCCAUAGUUGAGGACUCUUAGAUGAACUGCAUGGCACCAAAGUACACUCAAAGAUUGAUUUAAGAGUUGGAUACCACCAAGUGAGGAUGAAAGAGGGAGAAGAAAGCAAUACUGCAUUUAGAACCCACCAUGGCCACUAGCAGUUCAAGGUGAUGCCAUUUGGUCUAACCAAUGCUCCGGCCACAUUUUAAUCUUUGAUGAAGAGAUUUUUGGUCCUUAUCUUAGAAGGUUCAUUCUAUCCUUAUUUGAUGGCAUCUUAGUGUAUAGCAGGACACUUAAAGAAUAUUAAACCUACCUGAGUAGGUAUUACAAUUGUUGAGGCAAAACAAACUAUUUGCCAAGAUGUCUAAAUGUGCCUUUGAAUAACCUCAAAUAGAUUACUUGGGCCAUAUCUAUCAGGUAAAAAGGUUCAGACUGAUCCCUCUAAAAUAGGAACUAUGGAGGAUUAGCCAUUUCCAGUUACUGUGAAGGCUCAUAAGGGAUUUAUUGGGUUGAUUGGAUAUUGUAGAAGGUUCAUGCAACAUUAUGGGCAACCAGUAAAUCGUUAGGCUAGUUAUUAAAAAAAGGAUAGUUUAAGUGGAAUGGCAAAGCAAUUUAACCCUUCAACAGAUUGAAAGAAGUAUGAGUAAGGCUCAAGUUUUGGCUCUUCCCGACUUCACUAAAACAUUUAUAGUAGAAGUGUAUGAUUGUAAUGUGGGUAUCAUGGUAGUUCUUAUGCGAAGACUUCAACCUAUAGCCUUUAUUAGUCAAGCCUUAUGUCCUAAACAUCAAGGUUUAUCCACCUAUGAAAAAGAGCUAAUACCACUACUUUUUGCUAUUGAGAAAUGGAGGCGUCACCUGCAGCCCUCACACUUUAUCAUUAAGACUGAUCAUUUUAGUCUUAAAUAUCUCAAAGAUCAGAAAAUGACUACCCUAACACAACAAAAAGUGUUAUCUAAACUUAUGGGCUUGGACUAUGAGAUUCAGUACAAUAUAGGGGAAGAGAAUGUAGCAGUUGAUGCUUUCUCCAGAUGGAUGGAAUAUCAAGGGCAUUGUACUAACAUUUCUAACAUUUGUGAUGACCCAACCAGUCGUCUCAUGAGUUACUACUCUGUUUCCCAUAUUUAUGCUUUUUUAUGCUUCAUUAUCCAUAUUUUGUGGUAUCAGAUUGGUUGUACCAAAAUAAUUUUCGAUAAAGUUUGAGACACUUAGUCUCUUUUAAGAAGAAUUAAUUUAGAAAAGUAAAUCGGAUAUUGACUUAUGUGUUAGAGGGUUCGGAUAUGAGUUUCAAUGGUUCGGCUAGCUUCGGUAGGUGAUUUAUGACCUAGAAGUGUGAUCCGAAUGGGUUAUGGAGGUCCUGAGUAAAAGUAGGCUUGUAUUGGCAAAGUUGAUAUUUUGGCGAUUUCUGGUUGAUAGGUGAAAUUUUGAUAUAAGGGUCGGAAUAGAAUUCCGAAAGUUGAAGUAGCUUUGUUGUGUCAUUUGGGAUGUGUGUGCCAAAUUUCAAGUCAUUCGUACGUGAUUUGGUUGUUUUUUUAAUCAAAAGCGUGUUUCGAAAGAUUUUAGAAACUUAGGCUUGAAUCCGAUGUCAAUUGGUAGGUUUGAUGUGGUUUGAUGUGGUUUGAGGUGUUUUGAUGAUUGGAAUAAGUUUGAAUAAGGUAUUGGGUCAUGUAUGUGCUAUUGGUUGAAGUCCUGGGGGCCAUAAGUGAUUUCGGAUGAUUAUCGGGAACAUUUUGAACUUGACUGAUUGCAGAAAGUGUGAUGCUUCUGGUGUUUUUGCACUUGAGGGAGAAGGCCGUAGAUGCGAAAUUUGGGUUGGAGAGCAGAUACCGCGGAAGCGGUCAAGUAGCCGCAUCAAUGAAACCGCAUAUGCAGAAGCUCUAUCGCAGAUGUGAUCUAGUGCUUUAAGUGAAGGACCGCAGAAGCGCUUGUUUUUUCACAUAUGCGGUACCGCAGAAGCGGGUUUUGGACUGCAGAUGCAGAAAAGCCUGGGCAAAAGGUAUAUAUUUCAUCCUUCACGAUUUUUGAAGGGUUUAACCAUUUUUAACUUCGGAUUGAGAGCUUUUGGGCGAUUUUGAAGGGAGAUUUCAAGAAAACUUUAUUAAGGUAAAGAUUUUGGACCUAAGACACACUUCUAUGGUGAUAUUUCAUGGAUUAAGAUGGAAAUUAAAGGAAUUAAAGGGUUAAAAAUUGAGGUUUAGGGCUUGAGUUUAAGAGGGUUUUAAAUGAGAAUUUGCGGGGUCAUUUGGACUCUGAUUUAGAUGAUUCUGAUAUGUAUGAACUCGUGGGGGGACGAGAAAUAUACUGAUGUGAAAAUUAUUGAGUUUCGAGAAGUGGGCCCGGGGCUCCAGUUUUGCUAAUCUUGGAAUUUUUGGUAUCUUCGACUGUUUUCGCUUGGACUUUGUUCCCUUAGCAUAUUACAAUCUAUUCUUUCGAUGCGCGUGGAAGGCGAUUCGAGAGGCAAAGGUUCCGCGAGCUAGAGAUCUAGCUGGUUCGAGGUGAGUAAUGAUUGUAAAUGAUGUCAUUGAAACCCCGUAUUUGCACAUCGUAGUGCUAUAUUGAGGUGAUACACGCGCUUGAUGACGAGCAUGGCAUCGUAUGCUACUGGGGAUUUUGACUUAGUCUAUCCUAAUUGAUGAUUUUAUCAUCUAUUUGACUGAAAUUAAUUUGAUAUUAUCAUGAUUUGGGCUGAAUGCCAUAUUUAGGCUUCAUGCCAACUAUUUGAACCCUUCGAGGAUUUUUACCAUUGUUUCCUCACUAUUUUGACUUAUUUCUUGAACUCGGUCCGGAUAAUUUCCACUAUUUACUAUUCAGCCAUCCCUUCUCAGCUUUAAGACUUAAAUGACAUUUUCAAAGGAUGUUUGGGAUCAGAAAACACUAUAUUACUAUCGCCCGAGGGGCUUUUGAUGAUUCUUGGACUUAGUAAGGCCGAUGGCCCAUAUUGUGAGGAACACUAAUACUGUUUUGUGUCCGAGGGGCUAUAUAUAUAUGUAUGUACGAGGUGGCUUGAUUGAUAUGAGGCUGAGGGCCUAGAUUUGAUGCCACGAGAUGGCUUGUUAUUGCGCUUGGGUCGUAAGAGGCAACUCCUGGAGUCUGUACACCCCAGUGAGCAGGGGCACCUAGUUGUGACAUGAGAUCUAGCCCGAGGAGCUAGUAUUGUACUGAGCUAUGGCCUGAGGGGCAGAUUUGUGGAUACUGAACCCGAGGGGCGAACUUCUCUCUGUUUAUUUUACAUGAUUUAUUUGUCAAUUGUUUGUUUUCCCCUAUUGAAAGGAAUUUUUACUUGGUUUUCACUGAUUUACUGCUUUCAAAUGAUGUUUUACUGCUUUAUUAUAGAACGCCUUGUGUUUUAUGUGUUUUUUUACUUUCAGUCAUUAUAUGUAUUUGUUACUCACUGGCUCGGAGUACUCAUAUUACUCCCUGCAUCUUAUGUGCAGAUCCAGGUGCCCCAGAGGCCGAGUGAGAGCUUUCUAAUCGUUUAGUAUUUACCGGGGAUUUCGAGGUAGCUACAUGGCAUCCGCAGCCCUGAUUUCUCUCUUUUAUCUCAUUACUUUUCCACAUUCCUAGACUAUCUAUAUAGUAAGUUGUUCAGGCUCUAGACUCGUGACACUUGAUCAGUGUGAGUUGUGCAGUUUUAAUAUCUUGUUAACUUCUGCAUAUCUAUAUUACUGUUUUAAACAGUUAUUAUGAUAAUUGGUAAUUAAACCGUGUUAGCAAAUUACUUAUUUAUCAUGAAAAUGGGUUGUGGUUUGGUAGUUGGUCUGGAUUGCCUAGUAAUGUGAUAAUAUAUUGUGCAUUGUAAUGCUUCGAGAGUUGGGAUAUGUUGUGUAUUGAUUCAGGUAGGGGUGAACAAAGGAAACCGACAAACCGCACCAACCCGAUAAUCCGAGUCAAAACGAAAAAAAACCCGACUAUGGUUUAGUUUGACUUGGUUUGGUGUUGAAAAAAAAAUCCGACCAUAAUUGGUUUGGUUUGGUUUUAACUAAAGAAAGUCAAACCGAAACCAAACCAACCCGACAACGAAAAAAAACCCGACUAUGGUUUAGUUUGACUUGGUUUGGUGUUGAAAAAAAAAUCCGACCAUAAUUGGUUUGGUUUGGUUUUAACUAAAGAAAGCCAAACCGAAACCAAACUAACCCGACAUUAUAUAUAUAGAAAUUUAAGAUAUAUUUAAUAUAAAUAUACUUAUUGUAAUGUAAUUUAUAAAUAUUUCUUAAAAAAUUUCAUAAUUUUAUCUUUUAAAGUAUUAUUUCAAGGUUUGAUUUAGAAAAUAUUUCUUAAAAAAUUUCAUAAUUUUAUCUUUUAAUGUAUUAUUUCAAGAUUGAACUUAGAGCUUUUGAUUGCUCCAAUAAGUUUUAUAGCCAUUACUAUUAGUAAAUUAAAUAAUGCUAACAACCAAUACCAAUGCUAACAAAAGACAUUCAAUUCAAUAUUACGAACGGGAAAGUAUUGGACAUCUAUUUUUAUUUUGUAAUGAUUUAGAUAAAAAUGGAUAACCUAUUUUAUUUUGCUUUAGCUUUUAGUCAUGUAAGUAAUACUUCUUUAUUAGUCUACUAAUUUUAGCAUGACUUAGUGCUUUUAGAUUAUGUUUAGUUUUACUAAGACUUUUUAAUUUAGCAAUAUUUAUAUUACAUGAUUUUAUUGUCUUUAUUGUUGAAUAUUUUAGGAUAAUGUCAUGACACAUAUCAUAUUUUGUAUUAUUUUCUUGAAAAAUACUUUAUAUAGUUGUAUAUUACUACGACUAAAGAAAUAUUUUGAGCAUACGUUAUAUGUUUUGUUCUACGAAGAUUUUACCGAAAAAAAUCCGAAAAAAUCCGAAUAACCCGAGAAAACCCGAGAAAAAUCGAUAUUGAAAAACCCGAAUUUUAUUGGUUUGGUUUGGUCUUUAGAUUUAAUAACCGACAUAAUUGGUUCGGUUUGGUAAUUGUAAAAUCUGAACCAACCCGGUCUAUGUACACCCCUAAAUGCAGGAGUGUAGAGUUAUUGCUUAUGCUUCUCGUCAGUUGAAGCCCCAUGAAAAGAACUACCACGUUCAUGAUUUGGAGUUGGCUUCCAUAGUUCACGCAUUGAAGAUUUGGAGGCGUUACUUGUAUGGCGUAUCUUGUGAGGUUUUCACUGAUCAUCGCAGUCUUCAGCAUUUGUUCAAGCAAAUGGAUCUUAAUUUGAGGCAGCGGAGAUGGUUGGAGUUACUUAAGCAUUAUGAUAUCACUAUAUUGUACCAUCUGGGAAAGGCCAAUGUGGUGGCCGAUGCUUUGAGCCGAACGGCAGUGAGUAUGGGAGUUUGGCAUAUAUUCCAGUUGAGGAGAGACCUCUUGCAGUGAAUGUUCAGGCCUUGGCCAAUCGGUUUGUUAGGUUAGAUAUUUCGGACCCAGUCUGGUAUGGGCAUGUGUGGUUUCUUGGUCCCCCUUAUGUGAUCGCAUCAGAUAGCGCCAGUAUGAUGAUCCGCAUUUGCUUGUCCGUAGGAUUAAGGCAAGGAUGAUGAUUCCAGGGAUAUGACCAUCGGUGAUGAUGCGGAACUAACAAGUCUGAUCAAUAUAGUCCGUCAUGUUUUCUAUUCCUUCCUACUUGUUCUUCCUCUAUUAUGUGCUGGGGUGCUGAAGAUGUAGGGUUUGAUUUGUGUGCCCAAUGUGGAUGGGCUUCGGGAGCUGAUUCUGGAGGAAGCCCAUAGCUCGCCGUAUUCCAUUCAUCCAGGUGCCGCGAAGAUGUAUCAGAAUUUGAGGCAGCACUAUUGGUGGAAAAGAAUGAAGAAAGAUAUUAUGGGAUUUGUAGCUCGAUGUCUCAAUUGUCAGCAUGUGAAAUAUGAGCAUUAGAGACCGGGUGGCUUGCUUAAGUAGAUGGUUAUUCCUGAGUGGAAGUGGGAGAGGAUCACUAUGGACUUUGUUGAUGGACUUCCACGGACUUUGAAAAAAGUUCGAUUCUAUUUGGGUGAUCGUGGAUCGGCUGACCAAAUCCAUGCACUUCAUUCCUAUGUGUACUACCUAUUCUUCAUAGCAGUUGUCAGGGAUUUAUAUCCGAGAGAUUGUUCAUUUGCAUGGUGUUCCAAUUUCCAUCAUUUCAGGUAGAGGUACUCAGUUUACUUUGCAAUCUUAGAGAGCCGUGCAGAAAGAGUUCGGUACUUAGGUUGAGUUGAACACAACUUUUCGUCCUCAGACGGACGGUUAGUCCAAGCGUUCUAUUCAGAUACUGGAGUACAUGUUGCAUGGUUGUGUAAUUGAUUUCGGAGGAUCAUGGGAUGAGUUUCUAUCGCUUGGAGAGUUUGCUUACAACAACAAUUACCAGUCGAGUAUUCAGAUGGCUCCAUAUGAGGCUUUGUAUGGGAGGCGGUGUAGAUCUUCAGUUGGUUGGUUCGAGCUCGGUGAGGUUAGGCUAUUGGGGGCUGAUUUGGUUCAGGAUGCUUUGGAGAAGGUGAAGGUGAUUAAGGAGAGGCUAUGUACAGCGCAGUCGAGGAAAAAGAGUUAUGCUGAUAGGAAAGUUGGAGAUGUGUCCUGCAUAGUUGGCGAGACGGUUCUGUUGACGUUUUCACCCAUGAAGUGUGUUAUGAGAUUUGGGAAGAAAAUGAAAUUGAGUCCUCAGUUCAUUGGGCCUUUGGAUGUGCUUUAAAGGAUUGGGGAGGUGGCUUAUAAGCUUGCUUUGCUACCCAGCUUGUCGAGUGAGCAUCCAGUCUUUCAUGUUUUUAUGCUCUGGAAGUAUAUUGGGGAUCCAUCUCAUAUUUUGGAUUUAGCACGGUUCAGUUGGAUGAUGAUUUGAUAUAUGAUUUGGAGCCAGAAGCUAUUUUGGGUCAUCAGGUUCAGAAGUUGAGGUCAAAGGAUAUAAUUUCAGUGAAAGUGCAUUGGAGGAGGCUACCAGAAAAACCGAGCUGGAGAUAUAGAGCAGAUAACCUCACCUAUUUUAGGCUUCAGGUAUGUUUCUUGACUCGUUCGAGGAUGAACGUUUGCUUAAAAUGGGGAGAUGUGACUACUCGGCCAGUCGUCUCAUGAGAUAUCGAUCUGUUUCCCCCAUUUCUGUUUCUUUAUGCUUUGUUAUCUGUGUUUUGUGGUAUCGGGUUGGUCGGAUCGAGUCCAAAAUGAUUUCUGAUAAGGUUUGAGAUACUUAGUCUCUUUUAAGAAGGUUUAAGUUGAAAAGUCAACUGGAUGUAAACUUAUGUGUUAGUGGGAUCAGAUAUGACUUCCGAUGGUUUGAUUACCUUCGGUAGAUGACUUAUGACCUAGGAGUACGAUCGGAAUGGGUUAUGGAGGUCCGGAGUAGAAGUAGGCUUGAAUUGGCGAAGUUGAUAUUUUGGUGAUUUCCGGUUGACAUGUGAGAUUUUGAUUAAGCGUCAGAAUAGAAUUGCGAGAGUUGCAAUAGCUUCGUUGUGUCAUUUGGGAUGCGUGUGCAAAACUUUAGGUCAUUCGGACGUGGUUUGGUUGGAUUUUUUAUCAAAAGCGUGUUUCAUAAGAUUUUAGAAACUUAGGCUUGAAUCCGAUGUGAUUUGGUAGAUUUGAUGUGGUAUGAGGUGUUUUAAUGAUUGGAAUAAGUUUGAAUAAGGUAUUGGAUCAUGUUUUUGCUUUUGAUUAAAAUCAGGAGGGCCUCGGGGUGAUUUCGGAUGGUUAUCGGGAAGAUUUUGAACUUGAAUGAUUGGAGAAAGUGCGUUGCUUUUGCUUUUUUCGCACCCGCGGUUUGGGGACCGCAGGUGCGAGGGAGAAGGAUACAGAUGUGAAAUUUGGGCUGGAGAGCUGAUACCGCAGAAGUGGUCAAGUAGCCACAUCUACGAAUCGGCAGAUGCGGAAGUUCUAUCGCAAAUGCGAUCUAGUGCUUUAGUGGAGGGCUGCAGAAGCGGUUCUUUUGCUGCAUAUACGGUACUACAGAAGCGGGUUUUGGAGCGCAGAUGCGGAAAGGCCUGGGCAUCAGAUAUAUAUUUCAUCCUUCACAAUUUUUGAAGGGUUUAGCAAUUUUUAACUUUGGAUUGAGAGCUUUCUGGCGAUUUUGAAGGGAGAUUUCACAGUAACUUAGCUAAGGUAAGGAUUUUUUACCUAAACCACAGUUCUAAGGUGAUAUUUCAUGGAUGAAGACAGAAAUUAAAAGAAUUAAAGGGCUUAAAAGGGAGGUUUAGGGCUUGAGUUUAAGAGAGUUUUAAAUGGGGAUUUGAGGGGUCAUUUGGACUCCGAUUUAGAUGAUUUUGAUAUGUGUGAAUUCGUGGGGAGACGAAGAAUCUAUUGAUGUGAAAAUUUUUGAGUUUUGAGAAGUGGAUCUGGGGCUCGGGUUUUGCUAAUUUCUGAUUUUUGGUAUUUUUCGAUUGUUUUUGCUUUGGCUUUGUUCCUUUAGCAUAUUGUGAUGUAUUCGUUCUGAUUUUGAUAGAUUUGAUGUGUGUGGAGCCCGAUUGGGGAGCCAAAGGCAUCGCGAGCUAGAGAUUUAGCUAGUUCGAGGUGAGUACUGAUUGUAAAUGAUGUCAUGAGGGUUUGAAACCCCAAAUUUGCACAUCGUAGUGCUAUAUUGAGGUGAGACACGCACUUGAUGACGAGCGUGGGGUCGUAUGUUACUAGGGAUUGUGACUUAGUCCAUCCUAAUUGUUGAUUUUACCGCGUAUUUGACUGAAGCUUAUUUGAUAUCAUCAUGACUUGGGUUGAAUGUCAUAUUUGGGCUUUGUGUCAACUAUUUGAAUCCUUCGGGGAUUUUAUCACUAUUUCCUUACUGUUUUGACUUGUUGCUUGAACUCAUUUCUGAUAAUUUCUAGUGAUUUACUAUUCCGCCAUCCCUUCUCAGUUUUAAGACUUAAAUGACAUUUUUAAAUGAUGUUUGGGCAGAAAACACUGUAUUACUGUCGCCCGAGGGGCUUGUGAUGAUUCUUGGACUGAGUAAGGCCGAGGGCAUAUAUUUUGAGGAACAUUGAUACUGCUUUGAGGCCGAGGGCUUAAUAUAUAUAUAUAUAUAUAUAUAUAUAUAUGUCACGCCUCGAGGUGGCUUGAUUGAUAUGAGGCCGAUGGCCUUGAUUUGAUUCCAUGAGAUGGCUUAUUAUUGUGCUUGCGCACUAAGGGGCCCAUCUCAGAGUCUAUACACCCCCAAUAAGCGUGGGUACCCAGUUGUGACAUGAGAUUGAGCCCGAGAGGCUGGUACUAUUCUGAGAUAUGGCCUGAGGGGCAAACUUCUCUAUGUUUACUUUACAUGAUUUAUAUGUCAAUUAUAUGUUUUUACCUAUUGAAAGGAGUGUUUACUUCAUUUUCACUGAUUUACUAUUUUCAAAUGAUGUUUUACUACUUCAUGAUAGAAUGCCUUAUGUUUUACAUAUUUUCUUACUUUCGGUCAUUAUUUAUAUUUUUUACUCGCUUGGUCGGAGAACUCACAUUACUCCCCACACCUUGUGUGCAGAUCCAGGUGCCCCAAAGGCCGAGUGAGACCUUUCCGGCCGUUCAGCAUUUGCCGGGUAUUUCAAGGUAGCUGCAUGGCGUCCGCAGCCCUUAUUUCUCCCUUUUAUCUCAAUAAUUUUCUGCAUUCCUAGACAAUCUAUAGUGGGAUGUUGAGACUUGUGGUAGAGGCUCUAGACUCGUGACACCAGAUCAGUGUGGACUGUGUAGUUUUUAUGUCUUGUUAACUUCAGCCUAUCUAUCUUACUGUUUUAAACACUUAUUAUGAUAAUUGGUAAUUUAACUGUGUUAGCAAAUGAUUUAUUUAUCAUGAAAAUAGGUUGUGGUUUGGUAGUUGGUCUGGCUUUCCUAGUAAUAUGAUAGGCACCAUCAAGAUCGGUAUUUGGGGUCGUGACACCUUGAACCUUCUUGGAUGCAGAAUGUUUUAAAUAGUUAUGAAGGCGACUUAGAAAUGCCAAAACAUUUCACUUGUCUAGCUAAUCCAUCUGGAAUGCAGGAAGGAAUCACCACACAUGAAUGCCUACUGAUUUUUAAAGGAAAUAUCUGGAUUGGGAAACACACUAAUAUGAGGAGUACACUGAUCAAUUUGAUGCAUUCAUCAUCAAUUGGUGGGUGGGGGGGGNNNNNNNNNNNNNNNNNNNNNNNNNNNNNNNNNNNNNNNNNNNNNNNNNNNNNNNNNNNNNNNNNNNNNNNNNNNNNNNNNNNNNNNNNNNNNNNNNNNNNNNNNNNNNNNNNNNNNNNNNNNNNNNNNNNNNNNNNNNNNNNNNNNNNNNNNNNNNNNNNNNNNNNNNNNNNNNNNNNNNNNNNNNNNNNNNNNNNNNNNNNNNNNNNNNNNNNNNNNNNNNNNNNNNNNNNNNNNNNNNNNNNNNNNNNNNNNNNNNNNNNNNNNNNNNNNNNNNNNNNNNNNNNNNNNNNNNNNNNNNNNNNNNNNNNNNNNNNNNNNNNNNNNNNNNNNNNNNNNNNNNNNNNNNNNNNNNNNNNNNNNNNNNNNNNNNNNNNNNNNNNNNNNNNNNNNNNNNNNNNNNNNNNNNNNNNNNNNNNNNNNAAUUCUGGAUACAAGGAACAAUCAGAAGACUGACAUGUGUAUUCCAUUGGCCCAAGUUGACCAAGAGUGAAAGUGUUCCCUAUCCUGGACUACUGCAACCACUGCCAAUUCCACAACAAGCCUGGACUCACAUCUCAAUGGAUUUUAUUGAUUCUUUACCUAAAUCCGAAGGGAAAGGUACUGUAUUGGUAUGAGUGGAUAGCCUCACUAAGUUUGACCAUUUCAACUGUCACGCCCUUUUACUGUGGUUCAAGUGGUGAGAGCUUUUAUUGAUAACAUUUAUAAAUUACAUGGGUUCCUCGUUUCAAUAGUGUCGGAUAGAGAUAAGAUUUUCCUAAGCUUAUUCUCGAAGGAAUUGUUCAAGUCCUUGAAAGUAAAUUUGAUUGCCUAUCACCAUCAAUUGGAUGGGCAAACUGAAAGGUUCAACAGAUGCUUGGAGACUUAUUUGAGGUUCAUGACUAGCCAACAACCGAAAUACUAGAAUCAAUGGCUCUCACUAGCAGAGUACUGGUACAAUACAAAUUAUCACACAGCUCUGAAGAUGACACCUUUUAGGCCUGGUAUGGUUUUCAACCUCCUCAAUUCACCUUCAACUUGGUUAGCCAAACUAAUGUUGAAGCAGUAGAUGUGUUUCUCAGACAGAGAAAGUUAGUAGCUAAGAAGCUACAAGACAACCUUCAUCGAGCUCAAGGAAGAAUGAAACAAUAUGAAGAUAGCCACAGAACGGAGAGGGAGUUUACAAUUGAGGAUUGCAUAUUUUUGAAGCUCCAAUCUUGCAGACAAUCAUCGGUAGCAUUAAGGAAGAGUUUGAAACUUGCUGCAAGAUUCUACCCUAUAAGGUUGUGAAGAAGAUUGGACCAGUGGCUUAUCAACUACAACUUCCUCCUCAACCUAGAAUACACCCAGUGUUUCAUGUAUCCCUGCUCAAAAGGAAGAUAGGCCAACAUGUGAUACGCUCCAUUGACCCCCCUACAGUUGCAACAGAUGACCAGCCUCUUACUGAACUCAUUGCCAUUCUUGAUAGGAAAUUGUUAAGGGCAAUGCUGCUAUAGUUGAAUUACUCAUUCAAUGGGCCAACCUUCUGUUGGAGGAAGCUACUUGGGAAGACAUUGGUUUAUUACAAUUUCCAAAUUUUAAGAUUUAAAGAGAUGAAUUUUACGGGGGAUGUAAUGUUGCAAGGCAACUUAGUAUUCAAUAUUAUUAUCACUAAGUACAGGUUGUUUUUAAGUAAGUAGCAGAAAUACAAGUUUUCAAAUUAAGUGGGUAUGCCACAAGUUUUUAUAUUUGCAAUUAAGUCCUUGUAAUUAGUUAGUGAGUUGGCAACUACACUGAUUUAUAUGUACUCGUACAGAGCAUUUGGGAUUAAGGAAAAAGAUAUUGUUCUCUCCUCUCGUAUUAUUUCUCUCUCUGUCUUCCUUUCCUCUCUCUGUUAGAGUUGUGGCCGAUACCACAACACAAUCUUUAUUCAAUUCAAGAGUUACACCGAUAGCGAAAUUGGACUCCAAACCAUUUAAACAAAACUGAUAAGAACUAAGCUCAGAGAAGAAAAUCAAUAACCCAAAAUGUUCAGAUUCAAUGAAACCAAAUGGUAAAGGAAGAAAAUGAAGGGGGAAUAAACAACUCUCACUUAGAGCUAGCAAGGUGCAUUUCCAAAGAAAGAACAACAUUACCUCAAGCAAAAUAACUUUUCAUCCUUGUCUAAAGACUUACCAUACGGAAAUUGUAAUCAGAUAAUAGUAUGUAGAAAAAAAGGACAAAAAAGGAUUUUGAUGCUUCAACUUUCUUUAGAACAUAUUAAUUUUGUUGUAUUUAGUUUGUACCAAAAGAGAACACUGACAAAACCCAUCACAGAAUUUUGGUCAGUAAUUUUCUCGUAAACGUCAUUAGAGAAAUAAUCAGAAAAGACAUCAAAUAACAAUUGACCCAAAUCACACAUUGGAGUAUCAAUUCUAGACAUUCAUGUGAAGAUCAGAUAAAAAUACUGACAUAUAUGUAAGAAUCUAGCCAAAUUUUAGCCACAAAUAAGCACAAGAAAAAAAGAUUACUUGGAGAAAAAACUUACCACAACGGAGAGAUAAACUUGAGAGAAAUUAAAUGAAAUAAACCACCUUUGCAAGAUCUUAAUCUACAAAUUGAAAAACUUUGGACAGAAUCCAGUAUUUCCAAAUCUAGCGAUGGAAACAUGGAUAUAGGACAAAAGAAGUAAAUUUGAGAGAGAACAUUGAAACAGGUGAAAAAGUGGGUACUUGGAGUGAGAGACACGUGUUUGGUUUUCAGUUCUAAAAGACACGCUUUGAAUUCAGCCAUAAAGAUAUUUAUAU